CCUACGGGUGGCUGCAGUGGGGGAUAUUGCACAAUGGGGGAAACCCUGAUGCAGCGACGCCGCGUGAGUGAAGAAGUAUUUCGGUAUGUAAAGCUCUAUCAGCAGGGAAGAAAAAAGACGGUACUUGACUAAGAUGCCCCGGCUAACUACGUGCCCGCAGCCGCGGUAAUACGUAGGGGGCAAGCGUUAUCCGGAUUUACUGGGGGUAACGGGAGCGUAGACGGCAAUAUAAGUCGGAAGUGAAAGACCCGGGCUCCACCGGGGAACUGCAUUGGAAACUGGAUGGCUGGAGUGCUGGAGAGGUAAGCGGAAUUCCGAGUGUAGCGGUGAAAUGCGUAGAUAUAAGGAGGAACACCAGUGGCGAAGGCGGCUUACUGGACAGUAACUGACGUUGAGGCUCGAAAGCGUGGGGAGCAAACAGGAUUAGAUACCCUUGUAGUC
rnacentral:rRNA from 1 species